GAUGAACGCUGGCGGCGUGCCUAAUACAUGCAAGUCGAGCGAACAGACGAGGAGCUUGCUCCUCUGACGUUAGCGGCGGACGGGUGAGUAGCACGUGGAUAACCUACCUAUAAGACUGGGAUAACUUCGGGAAACCGGAGCUAAUACCGGAUAAUAUAUUGAACCGCAUGGUUCAAUAGUGAAAGACGGUUUUGCUGUCACUUAUAGAUGGAUCCGCGCCGCAUUAGCUAGUUGGUAAGGUAACGGCUUACCAAGGCAACGAUGCGUAGCCGACCUGAGAGGGUGAUCGGCCACACUGGAACUGAGACACGGUCCAGACUCCUACGGGAGGCAGCAGUAGGGAAUCUUCCGCAAUGGGCGAAAGCUUGACGGAGCAACGCCGCGUGAGUGAUGAAGGUCUUCGGAUCGUAAAACUCUGUUAUUAGGGAAGAACAAUUGUGUAAGUAACUAUGCACGUCUUGACGGUACCUAAUCAGAAAGCCACGGCUAACUACGUG
rnacentral:rRNA from 1 species